GUAGGUGGCAAGCGUUGUCCGGAAUUAUUGGGCGUAAAGCGCGCGCAGGCGGUUCGUUUAAGUCUGAUGUGAAAGCCCACGGCUCAACCGUGGAGGGUCAUUGGAAACUGGAGAACUUGAGUACAGAAGAGGAAAGCGGAAUUCCACGUGUAGCGGUGAAAUGCGUAGAGAUGUGGAGGAACACCAGUGGCGAAGGCGGCUUUCUGGUCUGUAACUGACGCUGAGGCGCGAAGGCGUGGGGAGCAAACAGGAUUAGAUACCCUGGUAGUCCACGCCGUAAACGAUGAGUGCUAAGUGUUAGGGGGUUUCCGCCCCUUAGUGCUGCAGCUAACGCAUUAAGCACGCCGCCUGGGGAGUACGGCCGCAAAGGCUG
rnacentral:rRNA from 1 species